rnacentral:lncRNA from 12 species
AGCUUUCAGACAAACACAUUAGACUGGAUCAUAAUGGAAAAUAGAAUCUUCUAAAUCUGAAAUCACAAGUGUGCCAAGAAUUUAGGGACUGACUGUAUUUCUGGGAACCUCUCAGCUUGUGGUCAUUCUUCUGACCACCUUGGAUAUGACACCAGUAUCUUUCUAAAGGCCAUGAAUGCUCACAGGAAAUUCAGUCACUGAAGAUGAAUCAAAAGGGAUUGAGAAUGCUGAGCCUCAAGUCAAAUCUUCACACAGUCGGUUGUCAAAGCAAGACAGAAAAUUGAGGAACAGAAGUCCUACAUCAUGUUUUUCCUGCAGACAUAUGAAGCAGAUCAUUGUUGUCUUCAGAUCCUACCAGUUGCAAACAGAGUGAAAAGGGAUACAUAAUGAGCCAUGACCACAAUUCUGGAAAGGACCAGUUUCACCCUGCCUCUCAACAUCGGCCAAGAGCACAGGUUUCCAUCUUACUGUUACAGUCUUGUCGG